AUUGAACGCUGGCGGCAUGCCUUACACAUGCAAGUCGAACGGUAACAGGUCUUCGGAUGCUGACGAUUGGCGAACGGGUGAGUAAUACAUCGGAACGUGCCUAGUAGUGGGGGAUAACUACUCGAAAGAGUGGCUAAUACCGCAUGAGAUCUACGGAUGAAUGCAGGGGAUCGCAAGACCUUGUGCUACUAGAGCGGCCGAUGGCAGAUUAGGUAGUUGGUGGGAUAAAAGCUUACCAAGCCGACGAUCUGUAGCUGGUCGGAGAGGAAGAUCAGUCACACUGGAACUGAGAAACGGCCCAGACUCCUACGGGAGGCAGCAGUGGGGAAUUUUGGACAAUGGGCGCAAGCCUGAUCCAGCAAUGCCGCGUGCAGGAUGAAGGCCUUCGGGUUGUAAACUGCUUUUGUACGGAACGAAAAGCCCCGGGUUAAUACCCUGGGGUCAUGACGGUACCGUAAGAAUAAGCACCGGCUAACUACGUGCCAGCAGCCGCAGUAA
rnacentral:rRNA from 1 species